rnacentral:rRNA from 1 species
UACAGAGGGUGCAAGCGUUGUUCGGAAUUAUUGGGCGUAAAGCGCGUGUAGGCGGUGAUGUAUGUCGGGUGUGAAAGCCCUCAGCUUAACUGAGGAAGUGCGCCCGAAACUACAUCGCUAGAGUGCCGGAGAGGGUGGCGGAAUUCCCGGUGUAGAGGUGAAAUUCGUAGAUAUCGGGAGGAACACCAGUGGCGAAGGCGGCCACCUGGACGGACACUGACGCUGAGACGCGAAAGCGUGGGUAGCAAACAGGAUUAGAUACCCUGGUAGUCCACGCUGUAAACGAUGGGAACUAGGUGUGGUGGGUGUUGACCCCUACCGUGCCGUAGCUAACGCAUUAAGUUCCCCGCCUGGGAAGUACGGCCGCAAGGUUAAA